GCCCGGAUGGCGGAAUUGGUAGACGCGCUGGUUUCAGGUACCAGUGUUGCAAGACGUGGAGGUUCGAGUCCUCUUCCGGGCACCA
rnacentral:tRNA from 1 species